rnacentral:sRNA from 1 species
UUCUGCCCAAGCGGGGGAAGGAUGAGAAGCUUCGACCAAGGUUCGACUCGAGCGCCAGCGAGAGAGCGUGGCCGCAGGCAACGACCCGAAGGGCGAAGCGCGCAGCGCUGAGUAAUCCUUCCCCCAUCACCA